AAACCUGACACCGAAGCUUAGGCAAUCCAGUAAUGGAUUGGGUAGGGGAGCGUUGUAUACGCGGAGAAACAGUAGCGUAAGCGGCUGUGGAGUGUAUAGAAGUGAGAAUGCCGGAAUGAGUAGCGCGAAUGCAGUGAGAAUCUGCAUGGCCGAAAGCCUCAGGUUUUUGGAGGAAGGUUCGUCCGCUCCAAGUUAGGCGGGAGCUAAGGUGAGGCCGAAAGGCGUAGCCGAUGCACAGACGGUAGAGAUUCCGUCCCCACCGAAAGAUUUAAGCGCAGGGACACUUUUAGAAGGUCGGAGCCAGGUGUUGGUUCUGGUAGAGAUCGAGGGAAGAUUAGUACCGAAGUCCGGCUGGAUAAGAGGCGAGAAAAGCUGCGUGUAUAUCUAAGGUGCCCGUACCGCAAACCGACACAGGUAGGUAGGAAGAAGAUUCUAAGGCCAACGGGAGAAGGGUUGUUAAGGAACUCGGCAAGUUGACCCCGUAACUUCGGAAUAAGGGGUGCUCAUGAAAGUGAGCCGCAGAGAAUAGGCCCAGGCAACUGUUUACCAAAAACACAGGUUUGUGCUAAAUCGAAAGAUGACGUAUACGAGCUGACGCCUGCCCGGUGCUGGAAGGUUAAGAGGAGAUGUGCAAGCAUUGAAUCGAAGCCCCAGUGAACGGCGGCCGUAACUAUAACGGUCCUAAGGUAGCGAAAUUCCUUGUCAGGUAAGUUCUGACCCGCAUGAAAGGCGUAAUGAUUUGGGCACUGUCUCAACAGCCCGCCCGGCGAAAUUGUAGUACCGGUGAAGAUGCCGGUUACCCGCGACAAGACGGAAAGACCCCAUGGAGCUUUACUGUAGCCUAAUAUUGGGUUUCGGUGUUGCAUGCACAGGAUAGAUGGGACGCUAGGAAGUGAGUGCUUUGGCAUUCAUGGAGCGGCCGUUGGGAUACCAUCCUUGCGACAUUGGAAUUCUAACCUGCGCCUUUGAAUCAAGGCGGGGGACAUUGUUAGGUGGGCAGUUUGACUGGGGCGGUCGCCUCCUAAAGAGUAGCGGAGGCGUUCAAAGGUUGGCUCGUCCUGGACGGAAACCAGGAGAGAGAGUGCAAACGCAAAAGCCAGCCUGACUGCGAGACUGACGGGUCGAGCAGAGACGAAAGUCGGAGUUAGUGAUCCGGUGGUAUGUGAGUGGAAAUGCCAUCGCUCAACGGAUAAAAGUUACCCUGGGGAUAACAGGCUGAUCUCCCCCAAGAGUCCACAUCGACGGGGAGGUUUGGCACCUCGAUGUCGGCUCAUCGCAUCCUGGGGCUGUAGUAGGUCCCAAG
rnacentral:rRNA from 1 species